UGCAAGUCGAGGGGUAACGGAAGUAGCUUGCUACUAGACGACGACCGGCGCACGGGUGAGUAACGCGUAUGUAAUCUGCCUUGUACAGAGGGAUAGCCCAGAGAAAUUUGGAUUAAUACCUCAUAGUAUUACCGAAUCGCAUGAUUUGGUAAUUAAAGCUCCGGCGGUACAAGAUGAACAUGCGUGACAUUAGCUAGUUGGUAAGGUAACGGCUUACCAAGGCCACGAUGUCUAGGGGUUCUGAGAGGAUGAUCCCCCACACUGGUACUGAGACACGGACCAGACUCCUACGGGAGGCAGCAGUGAGGAAUAUUGGUCAAUGGACGCGAGUCUGAACCAGCCAUCCCGCGUGAAGGAUGACUGCCCUAUGGGUUGUAAACUUCUUUUAUAUGCAAAUAAACCUA
rnacentral:rRNA from 1 species